rfam:Tupaia chinensis contig46898, whole genome shotgun sequence.
AAAAAGGGCUUCUGUCAUGAGUGGCACAUGCCAGGAGGCUCAUUCACUCUGUGUGCAGAAUCGACAUGAAGAGUUUUCGGAAGCAUAAUUUUUUGGUAAUCGGGCAGCUGGUGAUCGUUGGUCCCGGCGCCCUG